AUCGCUUCUUGGCCUUUUGGCUAAGAUCAAGCGUAGAAAGUAUUAAAUCAUUCAUAUAUAUAUAUAUAUAUUUUUUUUUUUUUGUACCAGGGAUCAAACUCGGGUCCUUGGCCUGCGAGGCAGGCGGUGGAACCACUAAGCUAAAUCCCAGGCCCCCCGUU
rnacentral:snRNA from 1 species